rnacentral:tRNA from 1 species
GCCUUCGUGGUGUAGUGGUCAGCACGGUGGAUGCGUAUUCCAGAGGCCCGUGGUUCGAGUCCCGGGAAAGGCG